GACGAACGCUGGCGGCGUGCCUAAUACAUGCAAGUCGAACGCACAGUUUAUACCGUUGCUUGCUACACCAUAGACUGUGAGUUGCGAACGAGUGAGUAACGCGUAGGUAACCUGCCUGGUAGCGGGUGAUAACUAUGGGGAACGAUAGCUAAUACCGCAUAAUCUUCAUUAUUGCAUGAUAAUUGAUUGUAAGAUGCUCUUUCAUCACUACCAGAUGGCCCUGCGAUGUAGUAGCUAGUAGGGGAGGUAACGGCUCACCUAAGCCACGAUACAUAGCCGAACUGGGAGGGUGAUCGGCCACACUGGGAAUGGGACAAGGGCCAGACCUCUACGGGAGGGAGCAGUAGGGAAUCUUCGGGCAUGGAGGGAAGGCUGAACGGGGAAAGCCGGCUGAGGUGAGAAGGGUCUCGGAUCGGAAAGCUCCUUUGUAAGGGAAGAAAGGGUGUGAGAGUGGAAAGUGCACACUGUGACGGUAUCUUAUCAGAAAGCGACGGCUAACUACGUG
rnacentral:rRNA from 1 species